rnacentral:sRNA from 1 species
GAAAGGACCUAGAUCUUCCCAUAGCUAAUUCCAGUGGACCAUGUUAUGGCAGAGACAGGCUUGUACCUCCCCAAGUCAUGGACCAUCCAGGUGGGUCUAGUUUCCCUGCUGGACAAUCCAGCCCCAUCCCACUUGGUGGAGAAGAUUGUCUACCACAGCAAGUACAAGCCAAAGAGGCUGGGCAAUGACAUCGCCCUCAUGAAGCUGGCCGGGCCGCUCACGUUCAAUGGUACAUCUGGGUCUCUAUGUGGUUCUGCAGCUCUUCCUUUGUUUCAAGAGGAUUUGAAAUUGCUCAUUGAAGCAUUCUUAUGUGGCUGCUUUAUAAUCCUUGUCAGAUAUUAAUAAUUCCAACUCCUGAUUCAUGUUGGUGUUGGCAUCAGUUGAUUAUCUUUUCUCAUUAAAGUUGUGAUGUUCC